rfam:Gloeophyllum trabeum ATCC 11539 unplaced genomic scaffold GLOTRscaffold_00007, whole genome shotgun sequence.
GGUCAUAUAGUGUAGUGGUCAUCACAUCGGAUUUUGACCGUCGUGGUUACUCUUCCGAUAACCCAGGUUCGAGCCCUGGUAUGACCU